CAAUGCAUGGUGGUGGAGCAUCCUCUGCACCGCAUUUUGCGGUGCAGAGGAUCUCCUCUGCUGCGCGAUGGCGACGGUGAUCGAUCACAGCACGCCACCGCCUAUGCCAAAUUGAACUCGCCUUCGCAGACUCUCUCUUUCGUCUGCAACGACGCCGGCUCUUGCGCCUCUUCUCCUUGCUUCCCCGGCUUCUUCCGAAGUGUGCCUUCCCUUCCCCUCGCCGCUCGCCUCUUCCCACACGAACGAUCCGAACUCAUUAGAGUUUCCAGUCGAGUGUGUAAACAUUGAAGAACAGCUAGAAGAGACAGGUGCAUACUAUGGCAGCUUUCAGAUCAUUUUGGAAUAGCCCUAUGGGUCCAAAAACAACUCACUUCUGGGGACCAGUUGCAAAUUGGGGCUUCGUUAUCUCUGGUUUAGCAGAUACACAGAAACCCCCAGAGUUGAUAUCUGGGAAUAUGACUUCAGUCAUGUGCAUCUACUCUGUACUGUGCAUGAGAUUUGCAUGGAUGAUACGACCUCGUAACUACCUGCUUCUCGUCUGUCAUGCCUCUAAUGAAUCAGUUCAGCUCUUUCAGUUAUCCAGAUGGGCGAAAGCACAUGGGUAUCCAGCUCUUCGAACUAACUAAUUCUGGAGGUGACUGGCUAGACCCCAUGAAUGUUUCCCACCGACCACUAAGGUACCUGGCCAACAAGGAGCUUGAACAAAAUAAAUAGACCCUGACAAACUUCUAAUUAAGAUAUGUUUUUUUUUCUUAUCAAUAAAAUGAGUCCCUUGUUCGGUUUUCAUUUUCCUUUGUUUCUCUCUCUCUGGAGUUGUCUAAACUAUCAUUUAAUAUUAAAGAUAAACCUUUCUGUGUUAAUAUAAAGUGCAUUUCAAUUCAAUUUUGGACUUCAAUUCUUUUUAUUAUUAAAAUAAAUAAUUUUCAUGUUA